rnacentral:rRNA from 1 species
AUGCCGUAUCCUGCCGCCGUCGGCGCCGGCCACCCUCCCCAUCACGAGCGGCCCUUGUUGACCGCUGGCUCCGACAGCAACGCUCACUCUUCCUCCUCCUCCUCCUCCUCCUCCUUGGACAAAAGCGAGUGGCGGCCUCGCUCUCCCGUGCCCGCGGACCCUUUUGCGCCGGAGUACUUGGACGAGCUGGCCGGGUACUUCGUCGAGGCGGCUGGCCGCCUCCCCAUCGCUCAGAUCCCCUUCCUGGCCUGCUGCAUGAGAGAUUUCGGUCUCGCCAUCGGCUUCGCCGACCCCGUCACUAACAUCAUCCUCACCACCAUCGACGCCUUCGCCCACGCCAAGCCCUACAUGAUGCGUCCGGUGGACCACAUACCGGUAGAGCAAACCAGGAACAAGACGACCUUCGCCGACGGUGCUCGCAGCUCCUGGAUUGCUCUAAACUGGUUCUUGGUUACCUAUUUUCGGCACCUCACCGUGCCUCUAGCCGUCCUUCUACUCCGUAAAGCUAGCUAUGACCUCCGGGUUGCCGUCGAAGCCGUUCACUUCCAUGUUGAUGGUCCUAACUAUCUUGAGCUACUUGCCCUGGAUUCUGUUAGGACCAAGACAGCAUUUGAGGAGGCGGUUUACCCACAGUCUUCUGCGCCCGAACUCUUGCGUCUAAUGACAUCGAGUUACAGUCGUUUUCUGGCCGAGCCUGUCCUAGAAGAUCUGCACCGAGGGGGGCAGCUCACCGCUGACUGCGUCUACAAGGUCAGCGAGUUGCUGCGCCAUCCAUGGUCACCGCCGCCGCCGUCACACCCCCCUCCUCCUAGUCCUGGUAUUUUUCGGGAUGACGACGGCAGCCUCACCAUGACUGUCCGCAUUGGAGAUGAUUUCGCCACAACACACAUCUCAACAUAUGGUGUCGCCACAACCACUUUCACCUCAUCUUGUCCGACUUAUGCCGGUUUCUCGGAAAACACAACCAACAUGUUAAGUAUGUUCCCUACCCACCAUGGGAGGCUAAUCAACCAGAGAGAGUUCUUCUCGGAGACCUUGGAGACUCCAGAAUUUCUGCCGUUUCUCAAGUUGCAACUUCUUGAUAUGAUCCAUGGUGUUUAUCUGAAGGCUAUUGCGAUGCUACCGGUUCAUGCUCUACGCAAUGGCCACCUGCUCCACUCGCUAGUAACAGCCGGUCACUGCUAUGGACCGUUGGACCCUGUGUCCAAUAUUGUCAUCAACACAGUCUGGUAUGAUGUUGUCUUCCCGCUCUCCAAAGAUGUCGCUUUUGAGGUUGGAGCAGCGGAUAUUCUUGAUGUCCGCUCCAUGCACCGUGUUGAAUCCCGUUCAAUCGACGGCCUGGUUGCCUACCUCCGCAGAUCCCCCUCAACAAAUGAGCAAGAUGCUGUGACAAUGCUUUGCAAAAAACGUUUGAACACCCCAAUCUUGGACUUAUACAAUAUGUGUGAUGUGGCACUGGCCGCGAAACACCCCCAGCCUGCUGCCUUUGGGGCAUUCCUUGAACGUGCGUCCAUUCUACAGUUAUACGACCGAUACUGCCUUUCUAGGGUCCAUGGACAUCCAGAUUCUGCUUUUGAGGAGCUAAAGAUGGCUCUACUCCAGGAAACAACCCGUGUUGCUGUACCAGUGCAACAAUGUGCUCAUGAUAUGGACAAAUCAACAGCUUUCCUGUGGUUAAACAACAUGUCAAGCCAAAAAACAGCAUUGGUGACGCUGUCCGAAAAGAGGCUUUCAUUCAGGUCUCGGCAAGAUAUUUUUCGCAGAGUGUUGGAACAUUUGCUGAUCGACUAUGGCUACAGGGGUCCCCUGGAACCACUAUACAAGCUCGGUGUCAUCUGUGGAGUGACGAGAAAAAGAAACUACAGCUGCACAGAUGUUUACCAUGCCAAUUUUUUGGCUAGCUCAGAUGGUGGAUCAUCAUGGAAGCUGUUCUUCGCUGAAUUCUGGAACCUACCCGAUGAGAGACUUGAAGAAUCAAAAAAUCCUUUCUGCUGCCCUGUACCGGAUUACCAUGAAUAUCCCGGUCGCUGCGUUGUUUGCGAGAAUGAUUCAAGUAUCAUCAUGCAUCCACAAUCGCGCAAGUAUUACAUGGGCAACUCCACACUUGCAUUUCCGACACCAGGACACUGCGGGGGUGAUACAAGUGAGAAAUUGGACUUUGACUUUAUUUACUUAACUCUAUAG